rnacentral:lncRNA from 1 species
AGCAAAACUGUGUUGAAUGAACUGUAGAUGGAAAUUCUCUCCUUCCCACCGAGGAGCCGCUGCAGGUUGCAGACUCCCAGAAUGCCACACUGAGAAGAGGAGGGCUAAAAUUCUAGAGCAGAAUCCCUGGGGCAGCCCCUGCUGAAGAAGGGUGCAUCUGUUGAGAAUCUCAUCACCGCCCCCACCCCGCCCAGCCUUCAAUUUAGAGGAAUUUCUAGUUCACGCAGAAUGAAGACAAGAUCACAUAAGUGAGGACGACGCCCCAUUUACAAGUGUGAUUUGGAAGACUGAAGUGGAAACCUUGGGAAGGUGUUCUUAUAAAAACAAAAAACUGUGUGGGUUGGGUUGUGUGCCUGCCUUUUGAAAGGCCUGCUGGUCGUUCUGAAUGCAGACUGCUGGCCAUGGUGCAGAUGGAAACCAAUUCUUUAGGAAGGCUGGGCAGCACUUGGCAGAGCCUUCUCCCUGACUGCUUUGAUUUGUGUGCGUGUGUGGGGAGGGGGUUGGGACUGAAGAGGUUGCAGUUUAUUCAUACACCCAGAAGGGAGCUAAUCCAGGUCAGAAGGAAGUCUGCUCCCUUAUCAACAGUUAGGUAGCUUUUCCUAUCAGUUUUCCCUUGUGUUGGCACUCAAUUUUCAUAAUACGAUAUGUA